GAUGUUAGUCAUGAGCAAUUCCUGGAGGUCUACUUUGCAUGUUCCAAUAGAAGAUUUUAUUUUUUUCAUAGGCGACAUCGAACUCAAAUGGAAAUUUUCUUUUAAUAGAGUGUAGUAGUUUUCUGAUAUCUGGCAAUUAGGAUUUUUGCUUCAGAUAGAAAGGUAAACAAAUUUGUUUCACAUGAAAUUCUGUAAGUUUCCGGUUUAACUCACAUAAUAGGUCAUCAUUAGUUGCGGUGGAGCAACAUACUGGUCUCUUACAAAGUAUUUGCUUUUAUGCAAUACAAGUUACCCAAUUCUUAGGAUAUAAUAGCUGAUACAAAAUAUGUUACUGUAAAAAAGCAGUUUAAAGUAGGUUAUGAGUGUUAAAACUUGGUAGUGAAUAACAGUUUAUUGGUAUUAUUUUUAGUGAAUG
rnacentral:misc_RNA from 1 species